CAGUUUGAUUCUGACUGAAAAAUUAACUUAUACCAACCAAAAUACAUGUAAACAACUAUAUGCCCGCACCACUAUACACAUAAAUAGAUAAAUAACUGUAUUAAGAAUAAACUCAAUACAACAGGGCGCCACAGUAAGUAACACUUUUAAAUUUGAGAAAUCAAGAAAAGAGUAUGGUAUAAGGUCUGGCAAAAUUCGUGCCAGCUGCCGCGGUUAGACGAUAAGCCCAAGUUAAUAAAAUAUAAACUAAAUUAAUGAUAAAUUAAAUAAUAUAAAAAGUCUAAUUUCUAAGAUCCACGACUCAUAUUUAUCUAAUAAAAAUGAAAUCAUGAACUAAAACAUGGAUUAGAUACCCAUCUAUUCAUGACAUAAAUAACAGUUGAAUAUUACGAACAACAGUUUAAAAUUCAAAGAUUUUGGCGGUGUCUUAUAAAACCAGGGGAACCUGUCUCAUAACUCGAUAAUCCACGCAUACCCAACCUUCUCUAGAUAUACAGCAUGUGUACUGCCGUUGCAAGCAUACCUUUAAAAGAACAAGUAUGCCACUAUGGCUAGUAAUAGCCCACACACAUCAGGUCAAAGUGCAGCCAAUAAGAAGGUGAUGAUGGGUUACAACCCAAAAACAGAAUAUCAACUAAGAAAUUAAAAAUCUUACGAAAGUGGACUUGGCUGUAAUUAAUUUAUAAGUUAAAGAAAUGAACAAAAAUCUAAGACAUGCACACAUCGCCCGUCACUCUAUCCUAAAGGAUAGAUAAGUCGUAACAAAGUAGGUGUAAUGGAAAUUGCACCUGU
rnacentral:rRNA from 1 species